rnacentral:rRNA from 1 species
UAAGAUGACGGGACCGCACAGCGGUGGAUGAUGUGGUUUAAUUCGAUGCAACGCGAAAAACCUUACCCACCUUUGACAUGGCAGGAAUCCCGAAGAGAUUUGGGAGUGCUCGAAAGAGAACCUGCACACAGGUGCUGCAUGGCUGUCGUCAGCUCGUGUCGUGAGAUGUUGGGUUAAGUCCCGCAACGAGCGCAACCCUUGCCAUUAGUUGCUACGAAAGGGCACUCUAAUGGGACUGCCGGUGACAAACCGGAGGAAGGUGGGGAUGACGUCAAGUCCUCAUGGCCCUUAUAGGUGGGGCUACACACGUCAUACAAUGGCCGGUACAGAGGGUAGCCAACCCGCGAGGGGGAGCCAAUCCCACAAAGCCGGUCGUAGUCCGGAUCGCAGUCUGCAACUCGACUGCGUGAAGUCGGAAUCGCUAGUAAUCGCGGAUCAGCAUGUCGCGGUCGAAUACGUUCCCGGGCCUU